rnacentral:rRNA from 1 species
GACGUAGGGCGCGAGCGUUGUCCGGAUUUAUUGGGCGUAAAGAGCUCGUAGGCGGUCUGUUGCGUCGGCUGUGAAAACCCGGGGCUCAACUCCGGGCCUGCAGCCGAUACGGGCAGACUAGAGUUCGGCAGGGGAGACUGGAAUUCCAGGUGUAGCGGUGAAAUGCGUAGAUAUCUGGAGGAACACCGGUGGCGAAGGCGGCAUCCUGGACCGAUAUUGACGCUGAUGCGCGAAAGCCAGGGGAGCAAACGGG